rnacentral:rRNA from 1 species
GCAUAUCAAUAAGCGGAGGAAAAGAAACCAACAGGGAUUGCCUCAGUAACGGCGAGUGAAGCGGCAAAAGCUCAAAUUUGAAAUCUGGCCCCGUCAGGGGUCCGAGUUGUAAUUUGGAGAGGAUACUUCGGGUGUGGCCGUGGCUUAAGUCCCUUGGAACAGGGCGUCAUAGAGGGUGAGAAUCCCGUCUUGAGUCACCGGUCCACGCCCAUGCGAAGUUCCUUCGACGAGUCGAGUUGUUUGGGAAUGCAGCUCUAAGUGGGUGGUAAAUUUCAUCUAAAGCUAAAUAUUGGCUGGAGACCGAUAGCGCACAAGUAGAGUGAUCGAAAGGUUAAAAGCACCUUGAAAAGGGAGUUAAAUAGCACGUGAAAUUGUUGAAAGGGAAGCGCUUGCAACCAGACUCGAGCGCAGGGUUCAGCGGGCAUGCGUGCCCGUUUACUCCCUGUGCUCGGGCCAGCAUCAGUUUCGGCGGUUGGUUAAAGGCCUCUGGAAUGUAUCGUCCUCCGGGACGUCUUAUAGCCAGAGGCGCAAUGCGGCCAGCCGGGACUGAGGAACGCGCUUCGGCACGGAUGCUGGCAUAAUGGUUGUAAGCGGCCCGUCUUGAAACACGGACC